UACGUAGGGGGCUAGCGUUGUCCGGAAUCAUUGGGCGUAAAGAGCUCGUAGGCGGUUUGUUGCGUCGGCUGUGAAAUCCCGAGGCUCAACCUCGGGUCUGCAGUCGAUACGAGCAAACUAGAGUGUUGCAGGGGAGACUGGAAUUCCUGGUGUAGCGGUGAAAUGCGCAGAUAUCAGGAGGAACACCGGUGGCGAAGGCGGGUCUCUGGGCAACAACUGACGCUGGAGGAGCGAAAGCGUGGGGAGCGAACAGG
rnacentral:rRNA from 1 species